CCUACGGGUGGCAGCAGUGAGGAAUAUUGGUCAAUGGGCGGAAGCCUGACCCAGCCAAGUAGCGUGCAGGAUGACGGCCCUACGGGUUGUAAACUGCUUUUAUACGGGAAUAACGGGCCUUACGUGUAGGGCCUUUCAUGUUCCGUAUGGAUAAAGCACGGGUAAUUCCGUGCCAGCCACCGCGGGUAUACGGAAGGUCCGGGCGUUUUUCGGGUUUUUUGGGUUUAAAGGGGUCGUAGGGCGCAUGUCAAGCGUGCUGUUAAAUUUGAGGGCCUAACCCGGGCCUCGCAGCGGAAACUGGCGUGCUUGAGUCGACGGAAAGCAGGCGGAAUGCGUCGUGUAGCGGUGAAAUGCAUAGAUAUGACGAAGAACCCCGAUUGCGAAGGCAGCUUGCUGCAGCGGAACUGACGCUGAUGCACGAAAGCGCGGGGAUCGAACAGGAUUAGAUACCCUUGUAGUC
rnacentral:rRNA from 1 species